rnacentral:miRNA from 1 species
GCCACCACGGCACCACCGUCGCCUCGGUCGCCGCCGCCGCCGGUGGUGGCGGCGGCGGCGGCGGGAGGACGGUGCCUGUCCAUGGACGGGCGCC